rfam:Camelus ferus unplaced genomic scaffold scaffold590, whole genome shotgun sequence.
GAGGGUACAGCUCAAGUGGUGGAGUGCAUGUCUAGCAUGCAUGAGGUUCUGGGUUCAAUCCCCAGUAUCUUCA